ACGGGUGAGUAAUGUCUGGGAAACUGCCUGAUGGAGGGGGAUAACUACUGGAAACGGUAGCUAAUACCGCAUAACGUCGCAAGACCAAAGAGGGGGACCUUCGGGCCUCUUGCCAUCAGAUGUGCCCAGAUGGGAUUAGCUAGUAGGUGGGGUAACGGCUCACCUAGGCGACGAUCCCUAGCUGGUCUGAGAGGAUGACCAGCCACACUGGAACUGAGACACGGUCAGACUCCUACGGGAGGCAGCAGUGGGGAAUAUUGCACAAUGGGCGCAAGCCUGAUGCAGCCAUGCCGCGUGUAUGAAGAAGGCCUUCGGGUUGUAAAGUACUUUCAGCGGGGAGGAAGGCGGUGAGGUUAAUAACCUCAUCGAUUGACGUUACCCGCAGAAGAAGCACCGGCUAACUCCGUGCCAGCAGCCGCGGUAAUACGGAGGGUGCAAGCGUUAAUCGGAAUUACUGGCCGUAAAGCGCACGCAGGCGGUCUGUCAAGUCGGAUGUGAAAUCCCCGGGCUCAACCUGGGAACUGCAUUCGAAACUGGCAGGCUAGAGUCUUGUAGAGGGGGGUAGAAUUCCAGGU
rnacentral:rRNA from 1 species